GGGAAAUCAUUUCCUUGAUUCUUUGCAG
rnacentral:piRNA from 1 species